rnacentral:lncRNA from 1 species
AGGAAAUUAAUCUUAUAGACGAUAGUUGAAGAUGCUAUAAAUAAGAAUACCUGGACUAAGAACACUGUGAUGUCAGUAAUGCUACUCAGUGAGUGGUUUACUACGGUCUUACAAACAGAGACCAUAUGCCAUGCGCUCUUCAGUCUGAUAAAGCACCAUAUGGCCCAGGCGUCGCGUUUAGUCCUGUCUCAAUCCGAUUAACCUGUCGAAUAAACCAGUCGGUUUCUUUUCUAGUACUCGUGUUAUUUACUCUUUGAAGAUGAGUGUUGAUAAACAGGAGCCGGUCAUGAACACGUGCAAUGGCUAGAAAACUCGAGCGAGGAUAGAGCAAAAGUACAGUGCCAUGGAGGAUGCCCAGUCCAGACCCCAUUCAGUCCACUCCACAUACUCGCAGACAACCGAGGAUGCAGCCUCCGCCUUGGGAAAUCAUGCUGAACAUCACCUUACUGUCAGUCAGACAGUGCUGGUGGUUCCGAAGCGCUCAGAGAGCCCCAAUCCGAGUAUGACCGAAGAGACGACUUAUGCCCCUCGACUGGUGUCUUCAGUUGAUGCUUGUACUAACACAGACCCUCCAUACGAAUGCUGCCCAUGGCUGCGCAGACUGUGCCCGUGUCCACCCAGAGGCCUGCUGGCUACCAUUAUCACCAAAGGUUAG